CUGAUCAAAGGCAGGCAGAUCUGUUAGAUCUGUUAGAUGCUCAAACGACAAAUGGUGCUAUCAUACCCCACAAGCGUCUCAGCUGAUGGAGAAGAGAGCAGUUAAGUGGUCAGUGGGGCUCCAGGUUGUCGUUUCUGGAUCCCACCACAGCCCUUCCAAGUUGCCCAAGAAAUCAAUGUCACAAGAGUUUUUUCCUCGCAGCUCUUCCCCAUGAUCCCACGUGGGGCCUUCUCAGACAUAUGCUGUGUCUGAACCAGCAGAUCCCACCAAACCAAGUAAUUGAGGACCCAGUCAGAAAAGGAGUGUGCGCAGUCCUACCAGAAAUAAACACAGCUAAACAGGUACUAGAAGUCACCCCAGAAUUGGCCCUACUCAACAUCUUCCAGGAUAACAGUGCCCACUCACACUAUCAAGAGCUCAUAACCCACCGACAGCAUACAAUUCAAUAUGGCUAACUUAACCCGACAACCCCCCUCAGCCACGCACAAAUCCCGCUGUAGCCAGCCAAAGAUGAUCAACCACACCCUAGGUCACCCUAACCUCUUUCACCAUCAAGGAAACAACAAGUGAAUAGAAAGAGAACUUCCCCAAGUGACACUGACAGAAAAACCCCAUGCAUACACUAAAUAAAAGAACUUAAGCUUUGCCACCCCAGUCCCUCUGUCCCAUCCCCCGACCCCCUUCCAGGGCUGGGUUUAGAUGAAGACAGACCCUAGGCUACUCCACUUGGCAUCAGGUGCACUUCUGUCAUUUCUUUGCUGUUCCCUCACUCUUUGUCUCCUUGUUUUGUAGUAAACAUUUGGCAAGGUGGCUUUUGCUUGUUUCUCAUGCUCAUCAAAAUCUUCUCUUUAAAAAAUCCAGAGGUGAACUGUACAAACUUGCACAAGAACUCAAUAACAGGUCUUAUUUCUGAAGGGCUUUGCUGACCUUGUGAAAAUGACCUAGCACACUUAUACCUCUAAGAUUCUGAUUUUGGCUGUGAACUAGCCCCCCCCCCCAAAACAAAAAUUGAAGUUGGGCCCUAGAGUUUCAAAUUGGUCCCCACUGGCUGGCCCUGAGUCUCAUAGUUGCUGGGCCUGAGUUGCCCUGCCCUCACAUGAAGUCUUGGGUUUGCAAUUUUGGGAGAGGGGAGACUGUCUGCUGGGGGCAAGUGGGCUGGGGAGGCCCCCUAGAUUUAGAGGCCCUAGGCUUCAGCCUACUUAGCCUAUACAUAAAUCCGGCACUGGUCAUGCAGUUUGACAUUCUCGUCUAUGUGUCUCUAUUAGUGCCUGACACUUCGUUUUAAUCCCUGUACUCCUUAGCAAUCAUUGGCUCUUAAGCAGGGUCCAGUGUAGCACAGAUGUUUAUUUCCAUAUUUCUCUCACACACUGAUUUCACAGCAUAUAGCUUGGCAGUAAUUUCUUUCUGUUACUGUGUAAUGCUGUUACCCUCUCUUCAUGAGUGAUUAUAGUGUAACAUCCGAGUGCUACUGAACUGACCAGAAGCCGCUGCACUUGUCACCAGCCUCUUCUGAGGUCUAGGUCAGCUGUUUUGUGCAGCCUUUUGAGUUAGCCGCAUGGAACGUACAACAGCUGUUUGUCAAUCACUGCUGAGGAUUAUACUUACAAAAGGAGGUGUUAGGAGAAGGGUGGGGGAACCAUUGAUUUUCCAGUUACUAUUCCAGUUCUGAAAAUAUAAUCCAGGGCAUAGGACUCUCACAGAAAAUGGAGCCCUCUAAAGAACAGUGACAGUUUCACCCAUGUGCAUUUCAUUACAAAUUAUCGUACGUUUAUGUGGAAAAUCAAUUCCCAGGGGGGCAGUGGUGGGCGGGAGGGAAGCCUGGUGGGCUGCUUGGUUGUGCAAUGUAAGCAACAUAUGUUGGGGGCAGGCAAUUGGCCAGGAGGCUUAUGCUUCAGCGGUGCUUGCAUAACCGGCAGCUGAAACAAUUAAAACUGUUUAUUUUUACUACAUUUAUAUAUCGCCUUUCUGCCAAACCACACAAGAUGGUUUAUUUUAUUAUUUUAUCAUAACUGCUUGCAGUCUAAAUGGCAUGACAUAAGGGAGGCAAGACGAAAAUAAGCAAACUGGGGCAUCAGCUCUUUAUCCUGUUACAUAAUGACCAGCUAAAAUGGCCACUGCUGGAUAGAAUUGUGUUGGGUUACUACAAUACUUUCCAUGUGGGAUUGAUCCAGUGUUUGCAGCUAGCUUGCUUCUGGGGUAAACUAUCAACAGCAUAUAACCCCUUGUUUGCAGGAUCCGCACUGACUCCUAAAACGCUUCUGGGCCACGUUCAAAGUUUUGGUACUCAUGUUUAAGACAAGUAGGAACCAGUUUGCAUAAGAGACUGCCUUGCCUCUUACAUACCCAGUAACUCACUGUAUUCUGCAGAAGAAUCUCUUCUUGAAGUUCCUAAACUAUCAGAAGCCCCUCUGCAACAAUUUGGAGCAGGACCUUCAAUGUAGCUGCCUCUGUUUUGUGGAAAGCAUCCCUGUUGAGAUGUGACAGGCACCCAUUCUCAUUUUGAGAAGUUUUUCCAGCUGAAUGAAAAAGCUUUAAAUUUCUGCUUUGGGUAUUUAUCUGUAUUGUUUAACAUUUAUCUCUAGGCAUUUUGUUAUAUGGUUGUGAAUCACCUUGAAAUCAAGAUGAAAGGAGGUUAAUUAAUAACAACUUUUGACCCACCAAACAAUGCAACCCAUAAGCCAUGCAUUGUGCCACACAUAUUUUUUGUUACCUGAGUUAGAUGACAAGAAAAGUGAAUCAAUUCCCAGCAUUGUGUGACUGAUGGGUGCCUUCAGCUUGAGAGUUACAUCUUGUUUACAUCUGCUGCUUAGCAAGCAACUUCUCAAUUGAUCUAGAAAAGGGUUGGAGAAGCUUCUUCGGUCUGAGGGCCACAUUCCCUCAGGUACAAUCUCUGAGGGGACUCGUGCAAGUGAUGAGCAGAACCAGUCACAAAGGUAGGAGGAGCAAUAGAAGUGACUUUUACCUUUGUUCAAUAGUCUACAUUCCUGCCACGCAAAAAUCAGAGGAGUCUACACAUCCUCCACACACAUCUCUCCAUCCAGGUAAGCAAAAAGUAUAAUCACAGUUAUUAAACAUUAAAAUUAAAUUAUACCCAAAUGGUUUUCUUUUUAUUAAAUCCUAUUAAAUCUGAUUUUUUUAGUCUGGAAAAGAAGAGGGGUGAACCAAGAGAUGUUUACCUUAUCUGCUACUCUUUGAGAUCGUUAUUUUUCUUGCUAAACAUCUCUUUGUGUGCUUUUUUAAUAGCCCAGUGGAUCGAAAACUUAGUAAGUAAGUUUGAUCAUAGCAGAAAUGCUUGCGCUUCAGUAUGACUGAUGUGAAUGUGCUACUCAGUUCCUAGUUAGAAAUAUAGGGAACGUUUGCGCUUUUAAAUUUUUUUGCUAAAGAACUGAUGUGUCACUGGCGCAAUUUAGUUUUGCUUUCAAGUAAUGUAAAUGUAGUUCACCAAAAGAUUUAUCACCCUGAGUUAACGAUCUUGAUAAAAUCUUGCUUCUCUUAUCUUUUACACUACUGUUUUGGGAAGAGGCCAUUGCUCAGUGGUGGAGCUCACACUUCGUUUGCAGAAGGACCCAGGUUCAACGCUUGGAGCUUCCAAUUAAAAAGGAAUUUAGACAAGUUUAGUAGGGCAAAUGGUAGGGGCCCAUGUGCCCCAGAGGACUGAGGGUGUUUGCCAGCAUCCCUUUCUCCUUUUCCUUAUCAGGACGGUGCAUUGGCAACAAUUCACACUGUGCAGCGAAGAAAGGGUAUAGGUGAGGCUGUAGCCACCCGCUAAUCUUCAUUUCAUCAGAAUGCCUCUGGGCUCUACCCUAGCAAAAAUGUUCAAAAGAAAAGAAAAAAGAAUGGUCUUCCAUUCCUGCCACAACUGGCGUGUGCUCACCCCCGACAUGAAUUUGACCUUUGAGCAUUCCAUUCAAAUCGUCAGAACUCUUCAGCUAAGGGCUGACUGUUCAAAACAAAUCAUGAAAGGCCCAGUUGUUUCCUUGGCCUGCUAACUCAUUGCUGAGGGAGAAAACCACCUCAGGGGUGGUUCUCCAGGCUACUCGCAAAGCGAAUAUGCUUUGCUGGAGACCUCCAUCACCUUUUAUGUAAUCCCUGAGUUCUUUGUUCCAUGAGGGAUGGUGUAACAGGAGGGGAAUGGGGUGAGACUGAGCAGAAAUGAAAUGGGUGCAACCUGCUCAGUUCUCCGUGGAAGAAUUUAACAGCUGGAGCAGACCAUUUCUGGUGCUACGGUGCUCAUCAGGUAUUGUUUCCUAGAUUUUCUGCCAUUCCCCAUACGCCAUUCCCCAUAUUCCCAAACGUCUGCUGAUAUAAGGCAGCUCUCCAUAUCCCUAUGCCAUGGGUCUUGUGAGGGAUGGAUGCCGACCAACCAACCAAGUGUCUUGCUAUAUAUGUGAUCUAUAUUCCCUUCUUGAGAGCACAAAUUGAACAGAUACUCAUUAUGGUAUGCCAUGGUCAACUGUGAGAAUCUUAGCACCCUAAGAAGCUUAUCCUGAGUCAGAUUGCUGGCCCAUUCACUGAGCAUUGUCUGCAAAGGCUAGCAGAGGAUCUCCAGGAUUUCAGACAUGUAUUUUUCUCAGUUCUUCUCAGAGAUACCAAGGAUCGAAAGCAUUAGUACAACUCCUGAGCCUUGGGGUACAUCCUAGGGAUACAUCCUAUGCAUAGUCUUAGCUGUGGGGUGGGGAGAAAAGGGGUCGUGGUUUGCAUUUUUCCAUUGACUUCAGUGGGAGUAUGUAAUUUACUUUACCUCUUCCACUGCCUUCUUAGAGGGUGGAGAGAAGCCACAAGCAGCAGGGAGUUCCUCCUUUGUUCAUCCCCUGCUGUUCUCCUGCUCCACCCAUUCUUCCCCUGCUUAUGCUGACAGUAUCCUGCCAGAAGAAAGGCUGCUUUGGUGGUAGACUUUGCUGGCAUAAGAGUAUCUCUGUGCCCGCAUAGAGUCUAGUCUAUUAUUCCUAUCCCCACAUAGUGGUACCCCCUUAGGGGUAGGAUUGCACUGUGAAUCAUCUUUUCAAAACUUCUGGCCCAGUUUCAGCAACCAUUUCUGAUUUAAGGAAUAUGUGUAAAAACCCGUAUCCUUGCGUGGAAAACGGCCCCUGGCAAAAGUUGUAAUACUCCCAUUAUGAGCCAGGAUUAUUUAUUUAUAUUAUUUCUUUCAUAAGUGCAUUUUUUUUUUUUUUUUGGUGUGUUAAAUUUACAGCAACUCUUACUCACCCUUCGAACAUCCUUAAUCCUUUCAGAAGUAUUCAGUUGGCCACCGUGCUUCUCAUCUUCUUUGGAAGUGAGAGAGAGAGAGGAAAGGAAUGUACUUGAUCUGCCAAAAAGAAAAGAGGAAAAAAAUCACGGAAGAGGUCCCUUGUCUGCACCUUAGCCUGCGAAGUGAAUGGAGUCAGCUCACUUUAAUACUGCAGACCCAACAAGAUCUCCCAGCAUCCCUCGGAAGAAAUUGACAUGGGCAAAACGUGAAACAAUUUGAAAAGCUGGAUGGCUUUCAAAAAGAUGCUCAGGCAAGUCUUGUUGUGGGGCUGAUGUUCAAGCAAAGGGAACAAGUCUAGUGACAGACUGUCUGCCCAGCUCAUAAAUCUGCAGACAAAUUUAAGUUUUCACCUGGAGCUACAUUUACAAGUAUGUCAAUGAAAUUAAAAUCAAAGCCCCUUGCCUGGCCUGCGGGAAAGGAAAUGCAUCAUGAGAAGAGAAUGCUUUCCAGCACUCGCGGAUCCUUCUAAGUUUCUGAAAUCCUCCAAGUUAGCACUGUAGCAACAAGAAUCCCAGAGUGGAAUGUGUUGAACACGCUCAUGAUUAAUGUGGCAGUUCUUCAGGAAGGAUGUAAAGGUCAGGUUGAGGAGGACUCUGGUUAUUUAUGAGGCAGAAAUCUUUUAGGUAUUUCCAAGGGUGUUAUUCAAGUCAGCAUUAUUCUGUGACUGAACUUGGAUUUGACAUUUCUGGGUUUCAAAGACAGUUGAGGAGAAAUGCCUAGCAGGUUGUGUGUGUGGCGGCAGUUGAAAGGGGAAACAGAAUGAAGAUUAACCUUCUAAUCGUUGUUGCAAACAUGUCACAAACUUUGUCUCCCAAACUGGGAAUCUUUUAAAGAUAUUGUAGCUCGCUCCUUCCAACCACCAUCAUAUGUUGUUCCUCUGUAAUUCCAUGGUGCUCUCAAAACAGCAAACAUGCCAGAGGAGAAUGUAUUUCCUUUCAUUAAAUAUAACCCUGAUUA